GAUGAAGAACGCAGCGAAAUGCGAUAAGUAAUGUGAAUUGCAGAAUUCAGUGAAUCAUCGAAUCUUUGAACGCACAUUGCGCCCGCCAGUAUUCUGGCGGGCAUGCCUGUUCGAGCGUCAUUUCAACCAUCAAGCCCCAGGCUUGUGUUGGGGACCUGCGGCUGCCGCAGGCCCUGAAAACCAGUGGCGGGCUCGCUGUCACACCGGGCGUAGUAGAUUUUAUCUCGCUCAGGGCGUGCUGCGGGUUCCGGCCGUUAAAAAGCCUUUUUUACCCAAGGUUGACCUCGGAUCAGGUAGGAAGACCCGCUGACCUUAAGCAUAUCAAUAAGCGGAGGA
rnacentral:misc_RNA from 1 species